CCUACUCGAAGGUUUGUUCUACAGGAGCCGCACUGGUCUGCAUACAAGUAUUUGUUCGAGCUGGUUGGUGCAUUGAAACAUGUGGUUGUAACAAGGGAGACUGAGAACAGGGCCCGUGUGUCAGCAUUGAGAAGCAGAACCAAGAAACGAAAGGGUAGGAAGAGUAAUAGUUGAUAGGGACACAGAGACACUUGCAUGUGACAAAAGAUGUUCGUUACCUUUGAUUAAAUAACCCUUCUUUGCUUGUGUCCCUUCUGUAAGUAUUUUCGUUUCUUUUCUUCUUGCUACUUCUUGCUUCAGUCUAAGACUUUAAUAUUAGCUUUGAUGUCAAGAAUAAAUGGACACAAAAGUUUUGUUGU